AAAAUAAAUUAUAUUAUCAUUUAAGUGUUUGUUUGUCUGUUUUUGGUACUAGGGAUCGGAUCAAACUCAGGACCUUGCACUUGCAAGGCAGGCAGCAGAACCACUGAGCUAAAUCCCCAGUCCCAUUUAAGUAUUAAUGUCAAUGCUAUUUAUACUUAAUUAUAUGUUAAUAUUAUUUUAUAAUUCAGUGCAUCUGUUGAGUGUGGCAGUGGACAUACUAAAUGCAUCUAUGUGAUGAUCUUAACUUGGGCUUAUUUUCAGGGAAAUACAGUACAAAACACUGCUGAAAGUUAGAAGACCAAAAUAGAGGGAAAGACAUCCCAUGUUCAUGGAUCAGAAGAAGCAAUACUACGAACUACCAAGGCCUCCAACAGCCAGGACAAUAGUGAAAAGGGAAGAACUGGAGGAUUCGCACUUCUUUGCUACCACAUGAACAACUCUCAGAAGAACCCUUGAGCAAGUGGAAGAGCUCAGACACAAGUGGGGAUCGAACUCAAGACGUUGUGUUUGCGAGGCAGGUGCGGUGCCACUGAGCUACAUCCCCGGCCCCGCUCAGGUCCUCAGGGUCACCAGCAAGCCGCUGUCCUCCGGGCCUUCCUGGACCUCCCUCCAAGCAGCCUCCUCCUCGCCAGUGCGGCCCCGCCCCGCCCACCACGGGGCCGGCCCCCAGGGCCACCCACAGGCAGCGUGCAGAGCAAGCUGGUCCCUCCAACACCCUCGCUCUCCAGCGUCAACAUUUUGGGGGCCCAACCCAAAGCCUGAAGGUGGAGGCAGACGGGGCAGUGCUUCUACAGACCAAGGAGCCCGGCAUCACCAGCCACAGCCAGGAGCUGGGACAGCCUGGAACGGCUCCACUGGGAACUUCAGCUGCCCAACCACCCUGCCCACCGUGCUGUGCAGCCUCACCGGGCAGCAUGGACAGUGGC
rnacentral:lncRNA from 1 species